GGAGGCUGGGGGGCCAGAAGAGAAGAGUCACUGAGCACGAGAUCUCAGCUCGCGUCAUCUGAAAGACAUCCGUGGCCUAAAACCCAACCGACACUUGGUAAACUUAAAGACAGACUUCUGAUCUCCUGGGUGAAACCUGUAGGAAAAAACAUAUUGGCCUGGACAUUCCAUCUCUCAGUGACACUUUUGAAGAAUGUGUUCCUUCACCUGUAGUAGAGGAAAGUGCCAGCUGAUUAUUUGACAGAUUAUGGAUUAUUCCUUGUGUGAAAACGAAAAGCCCUAUACAGAAGAAUACAAAAGUGUGUCUUCACUGGUGUUCUGCCACAGGUAUCGGAGUUCAAUGCUUUUCAG